rnacentral:lncRNA from 1 species
CUGUUUGUUGCGGUUUCUCUGUCUCGUAGCCAAUUGUCUAUAUCGGUUGGUUGUUUUAUGGAAAUCAGUCUCCAUGGGUCUCUUCCUGCUGGGAUGUUCUUCAUCCUGCAGCGUCUUGAUGCUUUAUAUAGCUUGAUCUGCCAUUGGUGGGCUGUGUUUCAUACUUAUUGAAGCUAGCUGGAAUUACCAUUCGUGUGCUGAAUCUACUGCAUCUUGUGGGUUCAAGCUGCUUGUCCAGUCUUCUCUUACAGGUUGCUGGAGUUGUGUUUCUGGCAAGUCCUUUCCAACGUGGAUGGUUUCGGCCUUGCUUCAUGGUUCUAUUUAGUUGCUGCGUUUGCAGAUUUGGAUGUGCUACUCCACCUUUCUGGAGUUGCUCAAUUUUGGUUUGCUAAAGUUGGAUCUCUAGCCUGUUAUUUCUCUUCCCCUGCAUGUUGCUGGAUAUGCAGGUUGUUGCUGCCGUUUGCAUACUAGUGAGAAGUUAGCUGAUGCGUGGCUAUGGUUUAAUGGUCUUCACUGUGGGUGGAGGCUCUCUUGAUGCUGCUAUAUGUAGCUGGUUAUGCUGCUCUUCUUGAAGCUGGCUGGAUAUCACUUGGAUAUUCUGCUUGUUGUUGGGAGUGCAGGUUGUAGGCGUUGUUGCUUGCUUUGCUGCUAUGCACCCUGUUUCAUUUGUAUUGGAUUUUGGGUACCCCGCUGUCGUAGCUUUGCUCUUUGUGCUGGCUGCUAGGUUGUAGGCAUUGUUAGCCUACUUGAAUGGUCUUCACUGCGGGUGGAGGCUCUCCUGUUGCUGCUAUGUGCAGCUGGAUAUGCUGCUCUUCUUGAAGCUGGCUGGAUAUCAAUUGGAUAUAUUGCUUGCUGUUGAAAGUGCAGGUUGUUGGCGUUGUUAGCCUGCUUGGAUGAUAUGCGCCCUGUUGCGUCUUUGCUGGAUUUUGGAUGCAGGCUUAGCCUUUUUUGAGUAUGUUCUUCUGGGUUGCAACAGAAGAGCCUGUACUGCUGCACUGUGCAGCUUUGUCAACUUUACGAUCCGAUUGUGGGAUGAUUCUUGCUGCUGGUUUGUUAGGAUUGCUGGAGCUGAGGAUUGCUCCUGCUACUCCGACUGCUAAUCCUAUCUGUAAAAGGGAGUCUGUUCCCUUGAUCUGAUUUUUGGGUGAUUGUCCUGGGGAGCCUGUUCCCCUGCCUCACCUCUUUGUUAUGUAAGUUCUGUAUUGCUGGCCUCCAGCUUAUGUUUUCUGUAAUUAUUCUGUACUUUGCUGGUUUCCAGCUUGUAUUCCAAGCUUGUCUUGCUUCUUUUUUUAUCUAUAUACUUCUUACAUUUGAUAAAAAAA